rnacentral:misc_RNA from 1 species
CCGCUCCACACACACGCGCGCGCGGCCGUGUGUUCCGAUGUGUACAUAUUAUUAUUAGAAUAUGUGUUGCCCGAAAAAUGAUGUAGAUCGGAGUCGCGAGUCAAUCUUUUGAGAUUUUUCGAGUGCUAUAUCGUUCGCGCCGUGCGUGUCAGGCUGCGGUGCCGUGCGUAUUGCACUUCUGAUUUGUGUUUAUAAGUUCGAGACAGGACCGAAAGCGGUACUGCUCUGCACUGUGUGUUGGCUGUGUGUGUGUGUUGUCGUCGUGUAUGUCGCCGUGACAUAACCUUUUGCGCGAUUAACCAAAGACCGAGCGAAUUCGAUUGAAUUUUUUGAUAGACACGCACAAGUAACGCAAACUGUUAAUCGGCGUAGUGCGUACACAAGUGAGCUCCCAAUUUAAAGUAUUUGGGAGUGUUUUUUUAUAUGACAAAUCCAUUUCUGAUGGAAGUUCCUGUUAGUUCGUUUUGUUUUCUGUGAAAGAUCGAUUUUUCCUGUUAGGGAGAAAAAUUGCUACCAUUUUCUACUAUUCUUUUUUUAUUUGUACAGUAUUUAUUAGUUAAGUUUCAACUCAUACUCAAAAAUGGAAGUUGAAGAAAAUGGGAAAAAAAGUAAAAGCAAAUCGAGUAAAUCUCGCAGUAAAACUACGAGAGGACGAGGACGCACCAAAGGUCGUACUAAGAAAGCUGUAAAAGUAAUCGAGAGCGACGAUGACGAUGUUCCUCAAAACACAGAUGAAAAUGCCAUGGACACCACCAAUCCAUCCCCAGAGUCACAAGAAACACCUGCCUCAAAUCAAAAUCAACAAAGCCAACAGUCGCAUCCUCCUGCACAACAAACGGUGCAAUCUGUUGUACCAAAUCAAUCACCGAUCGAACAAACUCAGCAAUUUGAUUUGGAAGCAGAUAUAUCCCAGUUAGAAGCACCUACAUUUACUACUAUAAAUAGGGGACCACCAGAACCCAUGUUAAGAUUAAGAUGGGAUCAUCGUGUUAAUUUGAUUGGUGAAAAAGUGUUGAAUCCUAUGAUACAUUGCUGUGAUAAGUGUCUCAAGCCAAUUCUUAUUUAUGGACGAAUGAUACCUUGUAAACAUGUAUUUUGUUUACUUUGUGCGAAAAAAGAAGAAAAAGCAUGUCCAAGGUGUAAUGAAAAAGUUGCUAGGGUUGAACAGACAGGUCUUGGUACUGUAUUUAUGUGCACCCAUGGGGGAUCAAGAUAUGGUAACAAUGGUUGUCGUAGGACAUACCUUAGUCAAAGGGAUUUACAGGCUCACAUCAAUCAUCGGCAUGUAUCAGCUCCACCACCUCAACAAGUUCAAGCGAUGCCAUUGGACAAUUCAACAUCUUAUAUUCAACACAAAGGGUCUGAUCUUAUGGAUCCAAUGAUGAAAAUGAAUAUGCAAAAUAAUCGUAUGAAGACAAUGAGUGGACCUCCUUCACAUAAUUUGAUGGGUAAUGAUCCUCGAGUCAAUGCUGGAGACCACAGACAAGGAAGACAUUAUUCUCAAACUACUUCUACAACUUCUAAUGCCAUGAGAUCAAAUUUAAUAACAGUGCCAAUUCAGGAUACAAGUUCUAUGGAAAUGCAAAAUCAAACACAACAGCAAUCUCAGAGUCAUCAUUAUUAUCACUCCGACAAUCACCCUAAUGCAGGCAUGACAGCAAGGUGGGUCCUUGCUUGUCGAGCUGAAACUGAAAUGAGACAUCGUAAAUCUGGUGGAAAAGGAAAAAUUUGAUAGUAGUGAUAUUGGAAAAUGAACAAGUACCAUUUUCAAUAUUAAAUCAUGAUAAAAAUACUGUCAAAUUUUGUUCUUUUUCAUCUGAGGUGUUGAAAGUUUUUCAUCUCAACAGAUGAAACUUAGUUUUACAUUAUAACAUAUUAAGAUAUGUUUAGUUAGAAUUUCCUGCUGAAUUAGUCAUUUCUAUAUUAGAUUCUGUACAUUAUGCUUUCUUUUGUCAAAGCACUGGUUGAAUUUUACACGUUAUAUUUUUAAAAUUACUAUAAAACUGUAGAAAAAUAGAAAAUAAUUAUUAAGAAGCCAUUUUAUCUGGACGAUAUUAACUGUGAAUUAUACUAAUUCUUCAAUAAACAUUUAUAUUAGACUAUUCUGACAGGCAUGUUGUUAUGACUAAUCAGGCACCA